UAAUGCUUUAGCGCGCUGAGGUACUACGACAAAACAUUAAGUUCCUCGUAAUCGGUGAGCAGAAAAAGAAAAAAAAUAAAAAACAAAAUAAUGUGUUCGUCGUUAUUUCCCAUUUCAGCUCGCAGAUUAGAAAAGCCGCCUCAAAUUUCAACCUAAAACCCAAAUUUGUGAUUCUCAAAUCCUUUUUACUUUCUAGCCCGCUCUCUCUCUUUCCUACUUUCAUUGAUUUUUUUCCUUCAAAAUGGUAUACGAGGGCCGAUUUAGUUUUUUGGUUCAAUUGUUUGAGGAAGUUGAGUUCAGAUGUGGCUGUCAAUUCUCAAUUUGAAAUAAUCAAACUAUGAAACGGUACUUCCAUGUCGUCGUCUUCAUCCGAAAAUGAGGAACGAAUCAGCAAAUUACCAUAAUCAAUCAUUGUAGAAAUACUGAAUCUACUUCCGAUAACAGAUGAUGUUUGAAGCAGUCUCCUAUGAAAGAAAUGGUUGAAAUUGACGACUCUGCAAGGAAUGGCAAACGACUAAGCGAUAGCAACACCGACACUACGGAGGCACGGACCAUUAGCAUUGUCUAUCAGAGAACCAAGGUUUGAAUUAUCAUAUACAUCGUAUUGUUGAAUCACGCUUCUUUGACAUUGCAAUUUUGAGAUUUCUCAUCUAUAUUUCAUCUAAUUUCUUUUUGUAUGUAAGUUUGAUGUAUAAUUCCCUAAUUGGUAUUACAAUUCAUUUACUCUUAACAUGAAUUGAUAAUUUCCUUUUCAAUAAUCUGUGAUUAUCCUUUAUACAUCCUUUCAUAUUCAUGUUAAUUUGGCAAUUCUUAAUAAUUCUUUUUAUGAUUAUGCUCAAGAAUUCAUAAGAAAUUGGUUGAAGAAAGAAUUCGCGAGGAUAAUAAAAUGAACUUGUUUUGUAAUUUUCGCAAAAGUUUUUUCUAGAAUCUAAAUUAAGAAUGGAUAAAGGAUUUUUUAUGUUAAAAAUUGAACUUCGUAUAGCAAGUUUUGGCAGGGGUAGAGGAUCUAUGACAAUGUUUGAUGAAGAGCCUAAUAAUCUUCUUAGUGUCUACUUAUCAAGCUAAUAUAUAUCACUACUAAAAUUUAUGCAUUUAACGACCAAUCCACAACGAGAAAACAAUAAUUUUGUCGUUGAUUGGCGAUAUAAACCAGUGUAUUACGACAAACUUAAGUGGGGGUCGUAAUUAGUUCAGGAAAAGAUCUAAACGAUUCAAUUUUUUCAAGUUCAUGUUCAUAUUAAGAUAAAUGGAUUGGAAUAUCUUGAACUAACCCAACCCAUUCAAUUUAACAGGCCGAAACACUUGGAACUUAUUCAACCUGUUUGAUCAAUCAUUUUCGUCACCUGACCUGCAUAUCUCAACACUAAAAUAUACUUUAUUGUGAUUGGCUUUGUUGUGCCAUUGUGUUUUUUCAGUUUUGGCCAACCCCUUAUUUUUAAGUAUUUUGAUAUUUAAGAUGAUGUUUCAAAAUUGUAAAAAAAUCUAUAGGUUUUAAACAGGUACUCUUUAUUUCUUUUUAUUUUAUUUGAAACUUAACUGUGGCCCAACCUAUUUAUUUAAAACGGUUAUUUUGUUAGCUCUUUUGAAGUAACAAGUUAAAAAUAUCAGCAUCAACCCGCUUAGUUUGUCUCAGGUUCAUUUUAAGCUGUGAUGUGAGAUUAACUCUUGACUUCUCUAAUAUCACCAUGAGUCCAUGAGUGUACACAACCACACUCAUGCCGUCUGAAUGCUCCCUCGUUGUUGAAGAGCUGAAGAGAACAUCAUUGUGUUUUCAAUGUGCUCAUGGAAGGGCAACAACUGUGUCUAUGGUGAAUCUGAAGGCAUUACAAAAGGGGGUCCUGUAGCUUGGAUCCUGGCAUGAAUGCUCUAAGAAUACCUGCAAUGGACUCUGCAGGAAGGAGAUAACUCUUGAUCGUGCCAAACGUAGACUAAAUAUGGAGGAAAUUCAGAAAACAAUGGCAGAAGAACCAAUUGUAUGAUACGGUACAAGAAGAAAACAAAGCACUUAAGAGUCACAUGAGUUCAGUUGAAAGGUUAUAUCACUUAAAGAAGUGUUACUACAACGGCUUAAGGCUCCAAGAGAGGAGACUUCAACUAUUUAGAUUUUAUUUUGUUCUAUUAGAUUGAACAUGAGUUAUUUAUUUAUUAGUGUUUUAGAAUUUAAAGACAACGAGAUGUGAUAGUUGAGUUCACAUAACUUGAAGUUCUAUUUUCAAUUUUUUUUAUUAAUGAAAUUUUCAUUUGUUUUGAUUGAUUAAUUUAUAGUUUUGUAUAUUGUUUCAUAGAGAAAAUGUAGGUGUUUUGAAGAAUGUAAAUAAUGUUGUUAUGAUUGCAAUAUUAACUA